rnacentral:rRNA from 1 species
AUACGGAGGGUGCAAGCGUUACUCGGAAUCACUGGGCGUAAAGGACGCGUAGGCGGGAUGCCAAGUCUGAUGUGAAAUCCUAUGGCUCAACCAUAGAACCGCAUUGGAAACUGGUAACCUAGAGUAUGGGAGGGGGAGAUGGAAUUAGUGGUGUAGGGGUAAAAUCCGUAGAUAUCACUAGGAAUACCGAAAGCGAAGGCGAUCUCCUGGAACAUUACUGACGCUAAGGCGUGAAAGCGUGGGGAGCAAACAGGAUUAGAAACCCCAGUAGUCC